UACGUAGGUGGCAAGCGUUGUCCGGAUUUACUGGGCGUAAAGAAUGCGUAGGCGGAUACUUAAGUCAGAUGUGAAAUACCCGGGCUCAACUCGGGUGCUGCAUUUGAAACUGGGUAUCUAGAGUGCGGGAGAGGUAAGUGGAAUUCCUAGUGUAGCGGUGAAAUGCGUAGAGAUUAGGAAGAACACCAGUGGCGAAGGCGACUUACUGGACCGUAACUGACGCUGAGGCAUGAAAGCGUGGGGAGCAAACAGG
rnacentral:rRNA from 1 species